GACGAACGCUGGCGGCGUGCCUAACACAUGCAAGUCGAGCGGAGGAUGCGGCGUAGUAAUACAAAGUAUCUUUAGCGGCGGACGGGUGAGUAACACGUGGGUAACCUGCCUCAGAGUGGGGGAUAGCCUUUCGAAAGGAAGAUUAAUACCGCAUAAGAUUGUAGCGUCACAUGGCGCAGCAAGAAAAGGAGCAAUCCGCUUUGAGAUGGACCCGCGGCGCAUUAGCUAGUUGGUGAGGUAACGGCUCACCAAGGCCACGAUGCGUAGCCGACCUGAGAGGUGAUCGGCCACAUUGGAACUGAGACACGGUCCAGACUCCUACGGGAGGCAGCAGUGGGGAAUAUUGCACAAUGGGCGAAAGCCUGAUGCAGCAACGCCGCGUGAGUGAUGAAGGCCUGGUCGUAAAGCGCUUUGAUCAGGGAUGAUAAUGACAGUACU
rnacentral:rRNA from 1 species